rnacentral:RNase_P_RNA from 1 species
UGGGUCGGCUGGACGGUCGCGUCGCGUGCGGUUCGCCGCUCGCGCCGAGGAACGUCCGGGCUCCACAGGGCAGGGCGGUGGGUAACACCCACCCGGAGCGAUCCGCGAGACAGUGCCACAGAGAGCAGACCGCCCCGGCCUCGGCCGGGGUAAGGGUGAAAGGGCGGUGUAAGAGACCACCGGGAUCGUGGUGACACGAUCCGCACGGCAAACCUCGCCCGGAGCAAGGCCAGACAGGGGAUGACGACGCGGCCCGCCGAGUCCCCGGGUAGGCCGCUGGAGCGGCACGGCAACGUGUCGCCGAGAGAGAUGACCGUCCACGGGGCUCACGCCCCCGGACAGAACCCGGCGUACAGGCCGGCCCAUUCG